rfam:Ovis aries breed Texel chromosome 3, whole genome shotgun sequence.
UCCCUGGUGGUCAAGUGGUUAAGACUCCAUGCUCCUAAUACAGGGGGCCCAGGUUCAAUCCCUGGUCAGGGAA